UGGGGAAUAUUGGGCAAUGGGUGAAACCCUGACCCAGCAACGCCGCGUGAAGGAAGAAGGCCUUCGGGUUGUAAACAUCUUUGACGAGGGACGAAAUAAAUGACGGUACCUCGAAAACAAGCCACGGCUAACUACGUGCCAGCAGCCGCGGUAAUACGUAGGUGGCAAGCGUUGUCCGGAUUUAAUGGGUGUAAAGGGCGCGUAGGCGGGAAUGCAAGUCAGAUGUGAAAUCCAUGGGCUCAACCCAUGAACUGCAUUUGAAACUACAUUUCUUGAGUGAUGGAGAGGCAAGUGGAAUUCCUAGUGUAGCGGUGAAAUGCGUAGAUAUUAGGAGGAACACCAGUGGCGAAGGCUACUUGCUGGACGUUAACUGACUCUGAGGCGCGAAAGCGUGGGGAGCAAACA
rnacentral:rRNA from 1 species